rnacentral:rRNA from 1 species
UACGAGUGCCCCAAGCGUUACCCGGAAUUAUUGGGAGUAAAGGGUGUGUAGGUGGUGGUAUUAGUCUUCUGUUAAAACUCCUGGCUUAACCGGGAAGAUGCGGGAGAAACGGUACCGCUAGAGGAUGUGAGAGGUAUAUGGAACUCAUAGUGUAGGGGUGAUAUCCGUUGAUAUUAUGGGGAACACCAAAGGCGAAGGCAGUAUACUGGCACAUUCCUGACACUGAGACACGAAAGCGUGGGUAGCGAAUGGG